UUGGAAGGGCGGAGAAUCGCUCCCGGCGCGAGCCGGGGGAGGAAAGUCCGAACUCCACAGGGCGCGAUGCCGCGUAACUUGGCUUGCGUAUUCGGCCAAGAUACACGCGGGCGGAAAGCCGAUAUGCUUUCCGACGGACAGUGCCACAGAGAACAUACCGCCGCUCUGGGAUUUCAAAUUUCAGAUUUGAGAUUUCAAAGCGGUAAGGGUGAAAAGGUGGUGUAAGAGACCACCGCCGGACGAGUGAUCGCACGGGCACGGAAAACCCCAUCGGGAGCAAGGCCAAAUAGGGGACCCUGAAGCGGCCCGCUUCAUGGCGCGAAAGCGCCGGGUUCCGGGUACUGGCUGCAUAGACAAAUGAUUCUCUCCGUGCCGCAAGGCGCGCAGACAGAAUUCGGCUUACAGCCCUUCCAAAACC
rnacentral:RNase_P_RNA from 1 species